rnacentral:rRNA from 1 species
UUUUUUNNNNNNCUCAGGAUGAACGCUGGCGGCGUGCCUAAUACAUGCAAGUCGAACGCUUUGUCUUUAAUUGAUCUGACGAGCUUGCUCUGAUGUGAUUUUAUCUGACAAAGAGUGGCGAACGGGUGAGUAACACGUGGGUAACCUACCUCUUAGCAGGGGAUAACAUUUGGAAACAAGUGCUAAUACCGUAUAAUACCAACAACCGCAUGGUUGUUGGUUGAAAGAUGGUUCUGCUAUCACUAAGAGAUGGACCCGCGGUGCAUUAGCUAGUUGGUAAGGUAAUGGCUUACCAAGGCAAUGAUGCAUAGCCGAGUUGAGAGACUGAUCGGCCACAAUGGGACUGAGACACGGCCCAUACUCCUACGGGAGGCAGCAGUAGGGAAUCUUCCACAAUGGGCGCAAGCCUGAUGGAGCAACGCCGCGUGUGUGAUGAAGGGUUUCGGCUCGUAAAACACUGUUAUAAGAGAAGAACGGCACUGAGAGUAACUGUUCAGUGUGUGACGGUAUCUUACCAGAAAGGAACGGCUAAAUACGUGCCAGCAGCCGCGGUAAUACGUAUGUUCCAAGCGUUAUCCGGAUUUAUUGGGCGUAAAGCGAGCGCAGACGGUUAUUUAAGUCUGAAGUGAAAGCCCUCAGCUCAACUGAGGAAUGGCUUUGGAAACUGGAUGACUUGAGUGCAGUAGAGGAAAGUGGAACUCCAUGUGUAGCGGUGAAAUGCGUAGAUAUAUGGAAGAACACCAGUGGCGAAGGCGGCUUUCUGGACUGUAACUGACGUGNGCUCG